GUGAACGCUGGCGGUAGGCCUAACACAUGCAAGUCGAACGGCAGCACAGUAAGAGCUUGCUCUUACGGGUGGCGAGUGGCGGACGGGUGAGGAAUACAUCGGAAUCUACUUUUUCGUGGGGGAUAACGUAGGGAAACUUACGCUAAUACCGCAUACGACCUACGGGUGAAAGCAGGGGAUCUUCGGACCUUGCGCGAUUGAAUGAGCCGAUGUCGGAUUAGCUAGUUGGCGGGGUGAAGGCCCACCAAGGCGACGAUCCGUAGCUGGUCUGAGAGGAUGAUCAGCCACACUGGAACUGAGACACGGUCCAGACUCCUACGGGAGGCAGCAGUGGGGAAUAUUGGACAAUGGGCGCAAGCCUGAUCCAGCCAUACCGCGUGGGUGAAGAAGGCCUUCGGGUUGUAAAGCCCUUUUGUUGGGAAAGAAAAGCAGCAGGUUAAUACCCCGCUGUUCUGACGGUACCCAAAGAAUAAGCACCGGCUAACUUCGUG
rnacentral:rRNA from 1 species